GCUUUUAUAGGAUAAAAUAAUCCAUUGGCCUUAGAAUCCAAAAACUCAAACACAUUUGAUAAAAGCA
rnacentral:tRNA from 1 species